AUUAAAAAUUUUUUAUUAAUUAAUAAUUUUUAAAAAAUAAUUUUGAUGUUUUAGUAUUUUAUAAAGAAUAAAUUUUUUUAAUAAUAGUAGAUUAGUAUUGUAAAAGAAUAAAAAUAAAUAUUUUUAUUUUAAAAGAAGAUUUUGUUAAUCGUACCUUGUGUAUCAGGGUUAAUUAAAUAAAAUUUAUAAAUCAUAAAUUUCUCGAAUUAAAAAGAUUUAAUUAUAAAUAAUUUUAGUUAUUGUAGCAUAAUUAUUAUAAAUUUAUAAUUAGAAAUGAAACGUUAAUCGUUUUUUAAUAUAUCUAGUUUUUUAAGAAAUAAAUUUAAUUUAGAUAUUUUUAAUAAAUAUAUUAAUUAUAUAAUAUAUUUAAUUAUUAAUAUUAAUAUUUUAAGGGAUAAGCUUUAAAAUAAAAUUUUAAAAAUUAAAAUAAUUUUAUUUAAUUUGUAAGCUUAAAAAUAGCUAUCUUUAAUAAGUUUGUUAUAAUUUAUUAUAAAUAAUAAUUAUUUAAUAUAUUUUAAAUUUUUUAUUAAAAUUUUUAUUAAAAUUAAUAAAAUAAAGUAAUAAUGAUUAAAUUAGUAUAAAAUUUUUAUAUAAAUAAAAUUUAUUGAAAGGUUUUAUUAAGGAAUUCGGCAAAAAUAAUACUUGCCUGUUUAUCAAAAACAUGUCUUUUUGAAAUAAAUAUAAAGUCUGGCCUGCCCACUGAAAUUUAAAUGGCCGCAGUAUUUUGACUGUGCAAAGGUAGCAUAAUCAUUAGUUUUUUAAUUGAAAGCUUGUAUGAAUGGUUUGACAAAGUAUUUACUGUCUCAAUAAAAAUUAAAUUAGAACUUUAUUUUUUAAUUAAAAAGUUAAAAUAUAAUUGGAGGACGAGAAGACCCUAUAGAUCUUUAUAAUUUAUUAUUUUAUUAUUUAUUUAGAAUAAUUUAAUAAUUUUAUUAAUAAAUUAUUUUAUUGGGGUGAUAAUAAAAUUUAAAAAACUUUUAUUUUAUAAAACAUUAAUUUAUGAUUAUUUGAUCCAUUAUUUAUGAUUAAAAAUUUAAGUUACCUUAGGGAUAACAGCGUUAUAUUUUUAGAGAGUUCAUAUCGAUAAAAAUGAUUGCGACCUCGAUGUUGAAUUAAGAUUUAUUUUAGGUGCAGCAGUUUAAAAAUAAAGUCUGUUCGACUUUUAAUUUCUUACAUGAUUUGAGUUCAAACCGGCGUGAGCCAGGUUGGUUUCUAUCCUCAAUUAAUUAAAAUAUUUUAGUACGAAAGGAUUAAAUAUUUAAAAAUUUUUUUUUCUUUAUGAAUAAAAUUAAUAUUAAU
rnacentral:rRNA from 1 species